CACGUAGGGGGCGAGCGUUGUCCGGAUUUAUUGGGCGUAAAGAGCUCGUAGGCGGCUUGGUAAGUCGGGUGUGAAAACUCGGGGCUCAACUCCGAGACGCCACUCGAUACUGCCAUGGCUAGAGUCCGGUAGGGGAGCACGGAAUUCCCGGUGUAGCGGUGAAAUGCGCAGAUAUCGGGAGGAACACCAGUGGCGAAGGCGGUGCUCUGGGCCGGAACUGACGCUGAGACGCGAAAGCGUGGGGAGCGAACAGG
rnacentral:rRNA from 1 species